GGGGGUGUAGCUCAACUGGAUAGAGCACUCGGCUCUUACCCGAUAGGUUCUGGGUUCUACUCCCAGUGCCCCCACCA
rnacentral:tRNA from 1 species